rnacentral:misc_RNA from 1 species
ACGUCAUCCCCACCUUCCUCCGGUUUGUCACCGGCAGUCUCAUUAGAGUGCUCAACUAAAUGUAGCAACUAAUGACAAGGGUUGCGCUCGUUGCGGGACUUAACCCAACAUCUCACGACACGAGCUGACGACAGCCAUGCAGCACCUGUGUUACGGCUCUCUUUCGAGCACACCUCGAUCUCUCGUGGCUUCCGUACAUGUCAAGGGUAGGUAAGGUUUUUCGCGUUGCAUCGAAUUAAUCCACAUCAUCCACCGCUUGUGCGGGUCCCCGUCAAUUCCUUUGAGUUUUAAUCUUGCGACCGUACUCCCCAGGCGGUCUACUUCACGCGUUAGCUGCGUUACCAAGUUAAUUAAAACCCGACAACUAGUAGACAUCGUUUAGGGCGUGGACUACCAGGGU